UGUUCACCAGUCAGGAAGUGCCAGUUUCCCGUGGAUUGUCAGUGUGUUAAACACACACCGGAUGUGUUGAGGUCAGAAGUACUGCGGCCUUAAACCUGCAGCCCUCGUUGAGGGAAAAGACGCUGUUACUCUGCUGGACUUGGGCCACGCGUGAUGACGUUUCACGAGUCCACAAAUCCGCACAAGUCUACAGAUUGAGGAACGUAAUGUACGUCAUCAGUGUCCAUCCAAUAAAUGCAGGAACUGCCGUGAAUCGGCCCCGCCCCCAAACAGAAACCGCCAUCAUAAAACACAAAGAUCUGGUUUAAAGGAGCUCCGCGCGGUUAGCAGGUAAAAACACACACCUGUUCACACCUGACCCGGACUACUGACCCGGAAUAACCCGGAUUAACGUGGUUUAAUCCUUUUAGAUCGAGUCCGGGCUUUUCCGCCUUUUUCCUCUUCAUUUUUCCCGCUGAACGCCUCUGACGUCACAUAC
rnacentral:lncRNA from 1 species